UGGGGAAUUUUGGACAAUGGGCGCAAGCCUGAUCCAGCAAUGCCGCGUGCAGGAAGAAGGCCUUCGGGUUGUAAACUGCUUUUGUACGGAACGAAAAGGCUCUGGUUAAUACCUGGGGCACAUGACGGUACCGUAAGAAUAAGCACCGGCUAACUACGUGCCAGCAGCCGCGGUAAUACGUAGGGUGCAAGCGUUAAUCGGAAUUACUGGGCGUAAAGCGUGCGCAGGCGGUUUUGUAAGACAGGCGUGAAAUCCCCGGGCUUAACCUGGGAAUUGCGUUUGUGACUGCAAGGCUGGAGUGCGGCAGAGGGGGAUGGAAUUCCGCGUGUAGCAGUGAAAUGCGUAGAUAUGCGGAGGAACACCGAUGGCGAAGGCAAUCCCCUGGGCCUGCACUGACGCUCAUGCACGAAAGCGUGGGGAGCAAACAGGAUUAGAUACCCACGUAGUCCCUGAGCGGGCUGGCAAGGCGCAU
rnacentral:rRNA from 1 species